GCAGAGAACAGUUUGAAGGGAAGCUAAGAAGUCCAAGACCCUAGAAGGAAGUGUUCAGUGCAACUAAUGCAGCAAGGUUUCCAGAGUCUUCAUGUCUCCUGGCCUUAUUAUCUCCCUGGACUAAAAGGGACUGUAGGCUGGGCAGUUUUUCUGGAGCAGGGCAGAGUCCCUUGAAAGGCAUUAACCCAUUUCCAUGCCACAGCAUGAGGUCCUUUGCAUAGUCAACCCGGGGUAGAGGAUGAAGGCACACUGGAUGCUGCAUAUCAUUCUGAGCUACACGGUCAAACACCCCCUUGAAGUACGAGAAUAGUCUCUUGGACAGGAUGGCACAGUAAGAUGAGGGUCCAUCGAGGAUCUCUCCCAUAGCCUUAGGGCCGGUAGAGCUUCUGGAUCCUGGAUGCUGCUGCUGGAUAAUAGCGAUGACUCAUGUUCCUUCUCCUGGCUUCUCUCAUGUUGUUGUUAUGGCCCGUUGCAGGAGUUCUGUGAGCAGUCGAUGUGUUCUCAUGAGUUCCCUUUUUCCCAGAUACAGUUUCUGCAGAAAGGUCUUUAGUGAGCCUGUCUACAAGGAGGUCAAAGUCAUCGAAGGAAGCUGUUCUCACCAAUUCCUCUAUCCAAGCGGUUUGCCAUAGUGUGGCGGCCCUCACCGAAGGCUGCUGCUUGUCUGGCUGCUCAAUCUCCACCAGCUCAGCCUGGAAAAUUGCUGUGGAAUUAGUCUGUUGCCUAUUUUCUUCCUGGUGUUGAGAACAAUAACCCAACCCCCAGGUUACAGAAACAUGCUGUAAGAACUACUAAGUCAGACUAGUCUCAAUGGCAAAAAAUAGUCCUGAUGACAUCUGACUCUCAAACUUCCAUUAAUAUCCUGUGGUAAAUGACCAUAUCAGAGUGUGAACCACUGAUCUUUCCACACAUCAUGUAUCCUGGGUCAACUUAUAUUGAACAAGCCACUUAAAUGGCAUGCCGGGCAUUGUUUACAAAUCUAUUCAGAGAGAUUCCAAGUGUCAACUGGUAUUUAGUGCCAGGCAUUUCUUGUUGGGAAUCCGUUUGUUUUCCUGCUCUAGAUUCUGGCUACUAAACCAUUUGAUUUUACCUUAUUUCAGUGUAUUUUUAAGAAGUUAGAAUACUUUGCACUGCAUUUACAGUAGAAUGAAUCAACUGGGACAUUUCUACCAGAGAUAUUUGUCAAAAGAAGAGCAGGAAUCUCCAUCAAUCUGUAUGCAGAGCUCCUGACACAGUCAGUGGAAUUUUGGAGAACAGAUCAAUUGUAGUUUUGGGCACUUAAGAUGAUUAUACUCUAUUAUACAACCAAUCUUUUAAAAAAAGAUUUUGCAUUUCUUGGCUUUGUUACAUCUCUGGGAAUAUGUCAAGCUAAAAUUUGUUUUCUAGAAAUUUUUUUUUUAACUACAGAAAAAAUAAACCUGUGAAUCUAUUAAAAAACAAAACUUAUUCGUGUGAGUUAAUACUAUAAGUAGUGUCAUAGUGAAAGUGACCAAAGAUUUAUAUUACACUGCAAAGAAUUGGCAGUAACCUUAUUUAUAAGACUCAUCCAAGGUCUUUGACAUUGUCAGUUAUUACCCUAUUAUUUCAGAGACUAACUAAACUCUGACUCAGGGGAGGGUAGUCGAGUUUGUGACAGAAGCAGGAAAAAAGGAAGGGACAAGAUGGAGAAGACAGAGUGCAAAAGAAAAUUUAAAGAAAGAAAUGAGGAGAGUGUGAAAGGCAAGAGAUUUAACUGAAUCAAAAGGGAAGAGAAAAGCGAAAGGAAAAAAAAGUCAGGCUGAAGGAUUAAAAUGAGUAUAAUGAAAAUGUAAGAAAUUAAAAUCUAGUGAAAAAUACAAAAUGAAAAUGAUGGUUGGGAAAUAAAGGAAAACUGUACCAUUAGAAAAAAAAAACAACAUUUGAGAGGAUGAAGACGUAUUAGAAGGACAGUGAAACUGAAAACGUAGACAAAGUAAAAACAGCAAAAUAAAUCAAUAUAAAAAGGAUUAAAGGAAAGGAAAUAGGAAAGGAAAGUAAAGAAGAUGAUAGUGCAUUUUUAUUAUAAUGAAGUUUGCUGCCAACAUUUGUUGUAUGAUAACAUCUGCUAUGAAUUCUCUGAAACCUAAUGUUAUUUUGAGACUGUAGGGUAAAUUUUUAAACUGUUUUUCAGGGCUUUAAGUUAUGCAGCUAUAAUUAACAUCAUGGGGUUAGUGACUCAAACUUAAAACCUUGCAAACCACGUUGAAAACGAAUCCCAUUUUAUAUCCAUACAUGGCUGUUUGUGUAGAAGCACACAUAUGCAUCUGCAUGCGCAUGUGCAUGUUUUCCAAUGCCACUUCCACACUCCAAUUUAAAGGCAAGCGUGUGAUAGUUAUUGUGUACUGCAUUUAACUGUAACAUAUGUUCAACUUUCUAUUAAUACAUUACUUACUACGGACCUCAGUUGUUUUAA